GCAGCUUGCUGCUUUGCUGACGAGUGGCGGACGGGUGAGUAAUGUCUGGGAAACUGCCUGAUGGAGGGGGAUAACUACUGGAAACGGUAGCUAAUACCGCAUAACGUCGCAAGACCAAAGAGGGGGACCUUAGGGCCUCUUGCCAUCGGAUGUGCCCAGAUGGGAUUAGCUAGUAGGUGGGGUAACGGCUCACCUAGGCGACGAUCCCUAGCUGGUCUGAGAGGAUGACCAGCCACACUGGAACUGAGACACGGUCCAGACUCCUACGGGAGGCAGCAGUGGGGAAUAUUGCACAAUGGGCGCAAGCCUGAUGCAGCCAUGCCGCGUGUAUGAAGAAGGCCUUCGGGUUGUAAAGUACUUUCAGCGGGGAGGAAGGGAGUAAAGUUAAUACCUUUGCUCAUUGACGUUA
rnacentral:rRNA from 1 species